rnacentral:lncRNA from 1 species
AUAUUACUACUCAAAUGAAACAUAAAUUGCAUUUCCAUUUGUCCUAAUCAACUUCUUCAAUCUUAGGACCAGCACCAUUGUUGCCACCAGAUGAAGCAUUUCCAUAAGAUGCACCAUCUGCACCACCUCCCAUAGGCACAUCACCAGCACCACCACCACCUUGGUACAUCUUGGAAAUUAUUGGAUUACACAAACCUUCCA